rnacentral:rRNA from 1 species
AUUGAACGCUGGCGGCAUGCUUUACACAUGCAAGUCGAACGGCAGCACGGGGGUAACCCUGGUGGCGAGUGGCGAACGGGUGAGUAAUGCAUCGGAACAUAUCUUAAAGUGGGGAAUAACGCAUCGAAAGGUGUGCUAAUACUCCAUAUACUCUAAGGAGGAAAGCGGGGGAUCGAAAGACCUCGUGCUUUAAGGGUGGCCGAUGUCUGAUUAGCUAGUUGGUGGGGUAAAGGCUUACCAAGGCGACGAUCAGUAGCUGGUCUGAGAGGAACGAUCAGCCACACUGGGACUGAGACACGGCCCAGACUCCUACGGGAGGCAGCAGUGGGGAAUUUUGGACAAUGGGCGAAAGCCUGAUCCAGCAAUACCGCGUGAGUGAUGAAGGCCUUAGGGUUGUAAAGCUCUUUUAGCAGGGAAGAUAAUGACGGUACCUGCAG